rnacentral:lncRNA from 1 species
UCUUUUCUUGUGAUAGCUCUGUUGUGCCAGAUGGUUUCCUUUAUUUAAAAAAAAAACUGUAAGUGAAUUCUGCAUGGUCAGGUAUUGCCAUCUUUGCAGAGAAUUUCCUUUGCCUAAUGUCCUAUCUGAUGGGCCAUUCUGUUUGUUGUAUGCUACAUAAUCGCCACAAAUGCAUACUGUGGUCCAUAAAACUGCCACACUGCUUUCAGAAACUAGUAAUUCACAAAGUAAACCUGAGACAGUGCUGUUAAUAAACACAAAUUGCAAACAAGCCGGUGGUGAGGGGAACAACGCACUCAUUCAGGAGUAAUAAAGCCUUUGAUCUUACUUUGAAGAAAGAGUCUAUGUUUAAACUGCCCAUUCAGGGACAGCCAGAUGCUCAUAAAGGGCCCUGCUUUGCUUUGAUAGAGAAUCACUGAGGCCUGUCUAGCAGGUCUGGUUUGUAAACAGAUUAGUUUAGGGCUCAUCAGGGCUGAUUUGCAUAGGAUUCAGUGAGCCCAGUCACUUCUUCAACCUUAAUGACAAAUGCCAGUUUCAGAUUGCUUGCCAUUUAUUUUAUUUUAUUUAGCUAGAAAUGUUAGAUAAUUACCUUGUGGCAGAGGAAAGGAUAUGUAUAUAAAAUAAAGCCCCUGUCCCCAGCCAGUAGAAGGCUGAUGACAGAAGACCCACCUGGCUCUCUAAAGGGCAAGGGAAAAUGAGGAUAACAAGGGUUACCUGGUUACAAAUAAGGGUUUUCUACAAUUUCCAUUGUUUGAGAAGGAAAGGGGGAUUAAUCUGAACUGCAGUGGAAAAGCCAAGUGGACUGCAGAGCCAGUCCACAAAUAUUUAUACACAAAUGCUUGUCCCUGGAGUCGUGCCGUGCUCAGGAGCUAGAGAUCCUGUGGCGCUGUGUGCAGACAAACCUCUGCCCUCUCCUGUGUGCCAUCCAGGCCUGCACAGUGAAACAUGGGCUGUCGGGAGAGGGAAGCUGACCCAUUGAAACACAGGCUCUGAAGCCUCUGUCCAGUGGCAGUGUCUUGAUUGAGGGGCAAGGCCUGUAUCUCCAGAACACAUCAUACUGUUUGCCUCACCACCUGGCUUAGUCAGCGUUUCUAUUCCUGCACAAACAUCAUGACCAAGAAGCAAGUUGGGGAGGAAAGGGUUUAUUCAGCUUACUCUUCCCCAUUGCUGUUCGUCACCAAAGGAGGUCAGGACUGGAACUCAAGCAGGUCAGGAAGCAGGAGCUGAUGCAGAGACCAUGGAGGGAUGUUACUUACUGGCUUGCUUCCCCUGGCUUGCUCUCUUAUAGAAUCCCAAACUACCAGCCCAGAGAUGGCACCACCCACAAUGGGCCUUCACCCUGCCCCCCCCCACCUUGGUAAUUGAGAAAAUGCCUUACAGCUGGAUCUCAAGGAGGCACUUCCCCAACUGAAGCUCCUUUCUCUGUGAUAACUCCAGCCUGUGUCAAGUUGACACAAAACCAGCCAGUACACCACCCAUUCAUUUGUCUUUGUUUUUGAGGCAGGGUCUGCUGUGUAGCCCAGGUGUUAAUCCCAAAUCAUCCCACAUCAUCUUGACCAAAUUCAUUAAAGCAAGCUACUUUAUGUACACAGUCUAUCUCUCUCUAAAUGUGGGGAUCAAGAGAUCAGCAUUAGAGCGAGGAAGACAAGGUUUUUAUAGCUCAGGGGCAGGUGGGUUCCAAGUGGUGGAUUUGGUGGGCAGAGUAGGUGGGUUUACAGGAACGAAACACAGGAUAGCAAGUUAGUCAUAACGACCUCCUGGGAGAAAGGCAUGAUUGCAAGGUGGUCAUAAAAAGGUAGUUGUAACAACAGAUAGUCAUAACAAGGUGGUCAUGACAAACUUUUCAAACAAAGGUAGGGUUGCGAGAUGGUUAUAACGUUUUGAAAAAGAGACAUGGUUGCUGUUCCCUGGAACAGGCAGUACAGAACCAUUUGUAGUGAAGGUUACAAGUGGAGCAUAGCUCAAUCCUUGAGAAACAGACGUUUAAUCAUGAACAGGAAUGAAUCCAGUUUGUCUUUAUUAUAAGAUGGCUUUCAAGACUAAAAUGGAGGUAGGCUGGCUCAACACAAACUAGCCUUGAACUUAAAAAUCUUUCUGCCUCUACCUUCCAAGUACUGGGAUUACAGGUGUGUGCUACCACACUUGUUUUAGUCUCAAUUGUUAGAAUAAUUGGUAAUUUUCCCAUUGGUAACUAGGAAAAAAAAAUCUCCCUUGAAGUUGUGAAC